AUAUUAUUCUUUGCUUCUUUUGAAUAUUAUUGUUCCAUGUCGUCCUUCUUUAUAAAUAGGGGUUUUAUUAUCAGAACUAAGAAUUGAGAAACCUAACCUAACAUACAUAGAACCGAUGAAACCGAUGAAGGGGAAGGGAAAGGAAGAAUUGAAGGGGAAGAAUGGCAGAGGGGUUUUGACAGAAGAUAGAGAGCACAGACGAUGAUAUGCAUCAAUUCUGCAUCUCACUCUUUUGUGCUCUCUAUUCUUCUGUCAUCACCUUCGUUCUCCUCUUUACUUCCGCGCCCUCAACCAACCUUUCAUUUUUCCAUCUCUCUUCCUCCCAGCUCUUUUAUUUUCCUCAUCUGAAUGAAUUAUAUUGAAGUAGCUAGUAGUUACAACAAAAAUCUUUAUCCUUGCGCAUUAACGCCGUAACCUAAUUAAUAAUUAGUAUGUUGCAGUUAGACGACGAUGGAGACGACUGGCUAGCUGCUGUGAUCGAAGAUCACGGAUCUCUUUACUCAUGAAUGUGGCAUAACAUUUAUAUAAAAAGCAAACCACAUGGUUUAGUGGAAGGAGGAUCGGACCACACGUGCAUGCAAACAGGAUUUAAUUUGUAGCAGCAAUAAUAACGUGAUUUAUUAUAUUAAGGGAUUAUUGCAGAAGCAGCUAGCUAUCUAAUUGUAAAUUUAAUUUGAAGAAAUUAAAGAAAAUUUAUGGGUCAUCCAUGAUCCAUCCAUGAGAUGCAUACUUGUAACAACCACGAACACGGAGGAGACAUUCCAUCAUCAACAAAGCAAUAAUGCAAUAUAAUGCGUGUAUGUUUAGCAUGAUGACUUGAUGAGCAUCGCACUGUGCAAGUAUUCCAAUCAUAAUUUGAAGGCGAAACGUGUUCAUGUGUGCGGUCUGCCCUCUGAUUGAAUGAUUCAUACUUGAUAAGCCUACUUUCUUACAUGUAGAUGUAAUUAUUAGGAAUAUAUGAUUCUCUUCUAGCUUGAAAUCCUUAGAUUCCCAUACAAUAUAAUUCUUGUCCUGAAAUGUAACACCUAGCUAGUACUUACUAUCGAAUGUUACUUUUUCUA